rnacentral:misc_RNA from 1 species
UAGAUCCAGUAAUGCAACUUUUUAACAUACGUAUGAAUGUAGUGUCAAUGUAACUAGUAACACAUGCAACAUAGGCACUUUAAUACUAUAUCCUGCAUAUGCUAUCAUUAUUUUACUUCUUAUCGGAUUAUUCAGAUUUUGAUGUCUAGCCAAAAGAAGUUCAUCUAGUAUUCCAUUAGAGAAACUUUUCAACAUGAAAAAAAUGCAAGAUACUAUCUCAAACAUGCUUAACUAGAGUGUUCAUCUGGACAUUUCGAAGAGUGCCUACAUCUUACUGACAAAUGUGGGAGAAACAAGUGCAUCAUAUCCUUUAUUGGUGAUGCUGGUGCAUGAACUUUCUCACUUGGUCUUCCAUAUGGAAUGAAACUAAAAAAAUAAAAUAUGUCUAGUCAACUUAGUAAAUCAUCUCACACAAGAAAGAGAGAGAGAGAAGAAGAAGA